UAAACAGGUAGUAACGUGUUGUGUUUUAUGGU
rnacentral:piRNA from 1 species